rnacentral:rRNA from 1 species
UACGUAGGGACCAAGCGUUGUUCGGAUUUACUGGGCGUAAAGGGCGCGUAAGCGGCGCGGUAAGUCACUUGUGAAAUCUCUGAGCUUAACUCAGAACGGCCAAGUGAUACUGCAGUGCUAGAGUGUGGAAGGGGCAAUCGGAAUUCUUGGUGUAGCGGUGAAAUGCGUAGAUAUCAAGAGGAACACCUGAGGUGAAGACGGGUUGCUGGGCCAACACUGACGCUGAUGCGCGAAAGCCAGGGGAGCAAACGGG